rnacentral:rRNA from 1 species
UACGUAGGGUGCGAGCGUUAAUCGGAAUUACUGGGCGUAAAGCGUGCGCAGGCGGUGAUGUAAGACAGAUGUGAAAUCCCCAGGCUUAACCUGGGAACUGCGCUUGUUACUGGCAAGCUGGAGUGUGGCAGAGGGGGGUGGAAUUCCACGUGUAGCAGUGAAAUGCGUAGAGAUGUGGAGGAACACCGGUGGCGAAGGCAGCCCCCUGGGCUAACACUGACGCUCAUGCACGAAAGCGUGGGGAGCAAACAGG